GAUGACAUAGCUUUAAAAACAAACAGCUAGCACAUUGAUUUGUGGUUUGAAUUGUAGGAGGGCAUUGUCACAGGCAGUACACACACAGCAUCACAACUGAGUAGUGCACCCUUUUUGUUGGUUACAUUUUAAAAGGAGAACUCAAUAGGACUCUAUCGGGUCAUAGCUUUGUGGGUCUUGGAGGGGGAAGUCUUUUGUUUCAUGUUGAAGCCAUGAAGUGUUUGUCGAAAUGACAGAUGUUCCUUUUUUCUACACAGGAUUUCUAUUAUCAUUUUCAUUUUUGAUCUUCAUCUUAUCCUUCUUAUCUUUGUAUGAUUUUGUCUACCUUGUCCUUAUGUUUUCGUAGCUGCAUUUCUUCAACUUUAUCAUUCUUCUGCGCCCUUUCCACCCCUUUAUGCGAUGUCUCGACUGUUCUACAUGUUGUCCUCUCUUUGUUCUUCUUCCAGUCGCCUUCUUUCUCGGGACCUGCUUUGUGUGGCGUGGGGUCAACGAGGCAACUCGGACUGUGGACCAGCAAAUGGUCCCGGCACACAUCGGCCAGACUGUGGUUGUGGUCAGCGCGAGAGAGUCGCGUAAGGCCACAGAAAGUGAAGGAGAGAGUGUCAACAGAGUAUGCAGUGUCUACAUCUAACGUCAGGCCUGAAGGCCUCAGGGGCAAGAACUCUGACAGUACCAUGCCGCGUACAUACCGUGUACAUGUUGAAGCGUAUGGCCGAGCGCUUAGAAUGCUGGCAUCCAAACUGACAGGCGCGCAGUUCGAUACCCGUCUAGCGCUCCACUCGACCCAGGUGUCCUUCGUCCUUUUCAUGUUUUCGUCUUUCGGUUUUAGCUCAGAAAUCAACAAACGAUAAAUUAAACAUUGACGUCAUGGUCAAGGUGUGCGCACAUCUCUCCUUGCUUCUGACGGUAGCAGUUCAUUCUGCGACAGAACCCAAAAGAAACUGUAAGUACAGAAUACACCUACAUUAUAAUAGUGAUAUUUUCCUGUGUGGUUUUAUCACUUUUAAUAUUUGUAAUUACAUCUGUUUGUCCCAUAUAUAAAUAUAAGCUGGAAAAACAACAACCAUAAAACACCUAAACAUAUUGAUGACAUUGAGUAAUUGAUUAGUUAGUUGACAAUUGAUUAUUGAUCAUUGAUUUUAAAUAUUUUUAGUUAGCUUUUUAGUGGUCGCUCAACUUUUGCAUAUCCGCCAUUAAGUAUUGAAAAAUGUUCUCAGUUUUUUACAAAUUUAGGGUUUUAUAUUUACACAUCAUUGUUAAGCAUAUCCAAUAAUAGACAUCUAGAAUAUUUGUUGUCAGAUAAAACAGAAGUUAAAGUAAAAGUAUGUUUUGAUGUCAGCAGAGCACAUCGAUAUAGUUAAGUUUUUAUUUGAGUAAAUUAAUAAAGGAGUGUCCGUGUGUGUGUGUGAAGGAGGGAGAAAGAAAUGAGGGAAUAAAACAGACCGAAAGAAAAAGAAAUAAUAGAUGACAAAGGUUGGGGCUGCUUGUGAAAAAGGCUGGGAGGAUAUAAUGGGACGAAAGGCACGAAAACCUUUUCUCUACUAUUUGUUUUAGUAAAUCUAAAGGUCUAUUUAGUUUUAGUUUAAUUACUCCCUGCGACUCCCCAUUGAGCACAGGGUCACAACACUCCUCCUUUAAACAUUUGAAAUUAAAAUAUUUAAAAGUCAAUUUCAUUUGCUUUGGUUUGUCACUGUUUAUUUAAUUCCUAUACUUUUUCUUUUAUUUUUUGAGUAUCAUUUAUUCAUCUUUAUCAUAAAUGGUCUCUAAUUGUUGUACAUAUAAGAUGUUUUGUGAUAGCAUGAUGUAAAUGUCUUGUGGGCUUAAACCCAAUAACAUAAAAUAUGUUUUAAUGAAAAGAAAAAUAAAUUUUUCUUGCUAUGUUGAUGUGGAACUGCAGAGAGUAUGUGUUAUUUCUAAACAUUUGAAUUAGGUUUAAAAAAAACAUUUGUUAAAUAUUCUAUAAAUGUUUACGUCAGAACAACUAUUCAAUGCUUAACGAUAGUUGUGCAGAAAAUGCUUAUAAAACUUUUAAAAACAUUUUAAAAGGUUUGAAAAAAGUUUAAAAGCAAGCAUUACUAAAACAUUACUUUGAUGGUUAUAAUAAACGUUUACAAACAUUUGCUGCUGACAUUAUGCAAACAUUUUGCGAUAAAAUUUUUUAUACGUUAAUAAAAUGUUUGAAUGCUGUCUAGGAAGUUCAUUUCAUCGAUUUCAAGUUCGAAUUUAAUUAUUAAUAAUAAACAAAUACGAGAGAGAGUGUGUGGUUUUUUUUUUUUUUUUUUUGCUUUAACCUUACGGUUGAAACUUCUUGACUAGUUAUUUUGAAUUUAUCAUGCACUAGGUUACCACCUUGCUUACGCCAAUCGUAUGCAUGCUCGUUACACUCGAUCUUGGUAAAUACGUACAAUUAGUAGACAUGAGAUAUGAUUAAAUAAUUCAAUUAUUUACAGAAAAGGGUAUCUUAAUUUUUUACAGAGCAUGAGACAGAGUCAGCGUCAUGCAAAAGCGAGUUAUGUUGCGAGCGGAAGUGCAAUGUGCAAGUCUAUACGACCGGAUGGUUACAAGUUAAACAUUUCACAAAAUUCAAUUUAACUUUAUUAUCUCAACGAGGAGAAAUUACAAGACGCAGUAAAACAACUGGCUUAUAAUAAAAAAACUUAAUAAAAACUUAAU
rnacentral:lncRNA from 1 species